GAAAUGCGAUAAGUAAUGCGAAUUGCAGAAUUUCCGUGAAUCAUCGAAUCUUUGAACGCACCUUGCGCUCCUUGGUAUUCCUUGGAGCAUGCCUGUUUGAGUAUCAUGAAAUCUUCAAAGUAAAUCUUUUGUUAACUCAAUUGGUUUCUACUUUGGUAUUGGAGGUCUUUGCAGCUUCACACCUGCUCCUCUUUGUUCAUUAGCUGGAUCUCAGUGUUAUGCUUGGUUCCACUCGGCGUGAUAAGUUAUCUAUCGCUGAGGACACUGUAAAAGGUGGCCAAGGUAAAUGCAGAUGAACCGCUUCUAAUAGUCCAUUGACUUGGACAAUACUUUUAUGAUCUGAUCUCAAAUCAGGUAGGACUACCCGCUGAACUUAAGC
rnacentral:misc_RNA from 1 species